AGAAGCUUAGGAUUAAUUUUAAACCAGUGGCCUUCAACACCACAAACAAGGGAAUAACCCUUAACUUCUG
rnacentral:tRNA from 1 species